rnacentral:rRNA from 1 species
UACAGAGGCCUCGAGCGUUGUUCGGAAUUACUGGGCGUAAAGGGAAUGUAGGUGGUGACGUAAGUCAGAUGUGAAAGCCCUGGGCUUAACCCGGGAAGUGCAUUUGAUACUGCGUUGCUUGAGUGCGAAAGAGGAAAGCGGAAUUCCCAGUGUAGGAGUGAAAUCCGUAGAUAUUGGGAGGAAUACCGAUGGCGAAGGCAGCUUUCUGGUUCGUAACUGACACUGAGAUUCGAAAGCGUGGGUAGCAAACAGG